GGUGGCUCAGUGGUAGAGUGCUUGCCUUGCAUGCAUGAGGCCCUGGGUUUGAUCCCUCAGCACCA
rfam:Dipodomys ordii contig_4327, whole genome shotgun sequence.